CCUACGGGCGGCUGCAGUGGGGAAUAUUGGGCAAUGGGCGCAAGCCUGACCCAGCAACGCCGCGUGAAGGAAGAAGGCUUUCGGGUUGUAAACUUCUUUUAUAGGGGACGAGGAGAGUGCCGUUACCUGAAGAAUAGGCCAGGGCUAACUACGUGCAAGCGGCCGCGGUAAUACGUAGGUGGCAAGCGUUAUCCGGAUUUCUUGGGUGUAAAGGGGGGGUGGGCGGGAAAGCAAGUCAUAUGUGAAAACUCAGGGAUCAACCCCGAGCUUGCAUUUGAAACUGUUUUUCUUGAGUGCUGGAGAGGCAAUCGGAAUUCCGGGUGUAGCGGUGAAAUGCGUAGAUAUACGGAGGAACACCAGUGGCGAAGGCGGAUGGCUGGACAGUAACUGACGCUGAGGCGCGAAAGCGUGGGGAGCAAACAGGAUUAGAUACCCCAGUAGUC
rnacentral:rRNA from 1 species